rnacentral:rRNA from 1 species
UACCAGCUCUUCGAGUGGUGUGGAUGUUUAUUGGGCCUAAAGCAUCCGUAGCUGGCUGGGCAAGUCCCCUGUUAAAUCCACCGAUUUAAUCGUUGGAGUGCGGGGGAUACUGUUCGGCUAGGGGACGGGAGAGGCAGACGGUAUUUUCGGGGUAGGGGUGAAAUCCUAUAAUCCCGGGAAGACCACCAGUGGCGAAGGCUGUCUGCUAGAACGCGCCCGACGGUGAGGGAUGAAAGCUGGGGGAGCGAACCGGAUUAGAUACCCGGGUAGUCCCAGCUGUAAGCGAUGCAGGCUAGGUGUUUGGGCGGCCACGUGCCGCUCUAGUGCCGCAGGGAAGCCGUUAGGCCUGCCGCCUGGGGAGUACGACCGCAAGGCUGAAACUUAAAGGAAUUGGCGGGGAGCACCGACAAGGGGUGAAGCUUGCGGUUU